UUUUUUUUCAUAUUUUAUUAGUGUAAAAUUAUUAGCACUAAACAAAGAUGUUCAUCUUAAUAGAUCAAUAGUUCAACGAACAGUAAACAGAAACAUUAUUCUAAUACUGCAUUCAACAUACUGGCUUCCGAUCCAAAUGUAGUUCUUUGAAAGAAACAUUCUUAAGUAUGCAUGAAGUAUAUCACCACUUCUGAGGUCAUUUACUCAAGACUUAUUUUUCUCCAUUUAUUAAAUCCU